rnacentral:rRNA from 1 species
AUUGAACGCUGGCGGCAGGCCUAACACAUGCAAGUCGAACGAGUAGCGGACGGGUGAAUAAUGUCUGGGAAACUGGCUAAUGGAGGGGGAUAACGACGGAAACCGGUAGAUAAUACCGAAUACCCUGCGAUCUGCCCAGAUGGGAUUAGGUAGUAGGUGGGGUAAAGGCUAACCAAGGCGACGAUGCCUAGCUGGUCUGAGAGGAUGACCAGGCACAUUGGAACUGAGACACGGUCCAGCAUCCGACGGGAGGCAGCAGUGGGGAAUAUUGCGCAAUGGGCGAAAGCCUGAUGCAGCCACGCCGCGUGUAUGAAGAAGGCUUUCGGGUCUUAAAGCACUGUAAUCGAGGAGGGGUUAACCAAAAAGGAAGCACCGGCUAACUAGGUGCCAGCAGCCGCGGUAAUAC